ensembl:snRNA U6 U6 spliceosomal RNA
AUGCUCUCUUCAGCAGCACAUAUACUAAAAUUGAAAUGACACAGAGAAGAUUAUCUUGGCCCCUGCACAAGGAUGACAUGAAAAUUCGUGAAGCGUUUAAUACUUUU